GACGAACGCUGGCGGCGUGCUUAACACAUGCAAGUCGAACGGAAAGGCCCUGCUUUUGUGGGGUGCUCGAGUGGCGAACGGGUGAGUAACACGUGAGUAACCUGCCCUUGACUUUGGGAUAGCUUCAGGAAACUGGGGCUAAUACCGGAUAGGAGCUCCUGCUGCAUGGUGGGGGUUGGAAAGUUUCGGCGGUUGGGGAUGGACUCGCGGCUUAUCAGCUUGUUGGUGGGGUAGUGGCUUACCAAGGCUUUGACGGGUAGCCGGCCUGAGAGGGUGACCGGCCACAUUGGGACUGAGAUACGGCCCAGACUCCUACGGGAGGCAGCAGUGGGGAAUAUUGCACAAUGGGCGGAAGCCCGAUGCAGCAACGCCGCGUGCGGGAUGACGGCCUUCGGGUUGUAAACCGCUUUCGCCUGUGACGAAGCGUGAGUGACGGUAAUGGGUAAAGAAGCACCGGCUAACUACGUG
rnacentral:rRNA from 1 species